UACGGGGGGGGCAAGCGUUGUUCGGAAUUACUGGGCGUAAAGGGCUCGUAGGUGGCCAACUAAGUCAGGGGUGAAAUCCUGGAGCUCAACUCCAGAACUGCCUUUGAUACUGGUGAGCUUGAGUCCGGAAGAGGUGAGUGGAACUGCGAGUGUAGAGGUGAAAUUCGUAGAUAUUCGCAAGAACACCAGUGGCGAAGGCGGCUCACUGGUCCGGUACUGACGCUGAGGUGCGAAAGCGUGGGGAGCAAACAGG
rnacentral:rRNA from 1 species